rnacentral:rRNA from 1 species
GACGAACGCUGGCGGCGUGCUUAACACAUGCAAGUCGAGCGGAAAGGCCACUUCGGCGGUACUCGAGCGGCGAACGGGUGAGUAACACGUGAGUAAUCUGCCCCUCACUUUGGGAUAGCCACCGGAAACGGUGAUUAAUACCGGAUAUGACCAUAUGUCGCAUGGCGUGUGGUGGAAAGUUUUUCGGUGAGGGAUGUGCUCGCGGCCUAUCAGCUUGAUGGUGAGGUAAUGGCUCACCAUGGCUUCGACGGGUAGCCGGCCUGAGAGGGUGACCGGUCACACUGGGACUGAGACACGGCCCAGACUCCUACGGGAGGCAGCAGUGGGGAAUAUUGGACAAUGGGCGGAAGCCUGAUCCAGCAACGCCGCGUGAGGGAUGACGGCCUUCGGGUUGUAAACCUCUUUCAGUACCGACGAAGCGCAAGUGACGGUAGGUACAGAAGAAGCACCGGCCAACUACGUG